rnacentral:rRNA from 1 species
AUGCACCUUUCUAUCUAUUUAUACCCUAGUGCUACCGUGCAACGGCACAAGAUACAAUUUCUAGUUCUCAUGUUUCUGGAGUUAGUUGUGGAGGGUGGACCGGGAAGAGGAAGAAUGAGAGGGUCCAAGAGUAAUAUGAAUGGGAACAUCGAGGAAAGCAUGAGCUUUCUAGAUUUCCUCUCCUUACAAUGGAGAGAUCUUGCUCUGUGUUUUUCCGAUGCCUCCCAUUCCUAUUGUUCUUGGGUGCUCCUUCCCCUUCCUUUUGGCUUCCACAUCAAACAAUCUAUGUAUAAAUUUUAG